CAACAAUUGAUUUUCACAAACAGCAUAGGUUUCUGAAACGAAGCCCUAAUUUGUUUUCUUCAUCACAGCUCUGAACCACCAUUGAAGUUACUCACUCAAAUUUGUCUUUUGAAAUCAAAAGCCUUUUGAAAUUUUUGGGUGAGACAGUAUCGGAAUCAGGGAAAGAUGAAGGAUUUGCGAAGAAUAGUUCAUUUCUAGAGCUAUUGCCUGUUGUUAGGCAACAAAUAAUUGAUGGAUUCACUCCCAAGGCUAUUGAUGUGUUUCGAAGAGAAUUUGAUUUCUUUGAUAAAGUGACAUCUAUAUCCGGUGUGCUCUUUCCAAAGGAGGAAUGACGAGCUGGUAUACAGAGGUGGUGGAGCAUGGACUUGGCCAUUUGCCUUUUACUGAGAAGCAAGUAGUCACUCCAACAGGGGAUGAAGAGUCAGUGUGAUGAGAAAAUGUCUGAUUUUGUCUUUUGUAAGACAAGAACAGUCUCUACAAAAAUAGUAAGUUUAUUCAUAUGCUUCUAGUAGUUUCUGAAUUAAUUUGUGUUUUUAUUUUUUCAGGUCAGAAAUUUCCUGGACAGAUGCAAAAUAUUGUCAAAGAAUUCAAGAACUUAAUUUUUUCAAGUUUUUUUUUUUCAUUUUUUAAUAUAUGUAAUCACAGUUAAAAACUUUUUAUUAAUUCCUUUCUAUAUACUU